UACGUAGGGGGCAAGCGUUAUCCGGAUUUACUGGGUGUAAAGGGAGCGUAGACGGCGAAGCAAGUCUGAAGUGAAAGCCCGGGGCUUAACCCUGGGACUGCUUUGGAAACUGUUUUGCUAGAGUGCUGGAGAGGUAAGUGGAAUUCCUAGUGUAGCGGUGAAAUGCGUAGAUAUUAGGAGGAACACCAGUGGCGAAGGCGGCUUACUGGACAGUAACUGACGUUGAGGCUCGAAAGCGUGGGGAGCAAACAGG
rnacentral:rRNA from 1 species